GGAGUCCUCAGCCAAUGAGCUGUGAGCUGGCCCCUCCCCUCCCUGAGGAAACAGGAAGUGAUGUCACCAUUCGCAUUCCAUCAGCUGAGACGCCGCGGAGCCCCGGAGGUUCAGGGGCCCUCAGAGGACCGGAACCGAGGCUUCAGGGGCCCCAAGCAGAGAGUUCUGCUGGUGAGCAGAACCAGAACCACAGAAUCGGGUCGGUUCUGUUCAGGAACAUUCAGUCCUUUAUGCCAACAGCCUGUAAACCAUGAAGCAUCAGCUGUUUAAUGUCACUAAGCUAAUUAUUUUAUUCCCUCGUUUCUCUGAAUCAUUUUCCAGUAAAAGUUUAACAGAUUUAACUUUUUUACUCAUCCAUCACUUCUUACUUUUACUUUACUGAACAUGAGCUUCAGAGGCUCGUUUCCGAACUGGAGCCAUGCUAACUGCUGUGCUAACAGAUACGCUAACUGCUGUGCUAACAGAUACGCUAACUGCUGUGCUAACAGAUAUGCUAACUGCUGUGCUAACAGANGCUAACUGCUGUGCUAACAGAUAUGCUAACUGCUGUGCUAACAGAUAUGCUAACUCAUAGAUCUGAGGAAUGUGACUGUAAAAAUCUGUAUUAAAACAAACUUUGCAUAC